rnacentral:rRNA from 1 species
GUGGGGAAUAUUGGGCAAUGGGUGCAAGCCUGACCCAGCCAUCCCGCGUGCCGGAUGAAGGCCCUCUGGGUCGUAAACGGCUUUUGACGGUGAAGAAUCGACAGGAUGCGUCCUGUUUUGACGGUAGCCGUUGAAUAAGCACCGGCUAACUCCGUGCCAGCAGCCGCGGUAAUACGGAGGGUGCGAGCGUUGUCCGGAUUUAUUGGGUUUAAAGGGUGCGUAGGCUGGAAGGUCAUUCAGCGGUGAAAAGCUGUCGCUUAACGAUAGUCUUGCCGCAGAUACUUCCUUUCUUGGAUGAGGAGGAGGCCACUGGAACGGAUGGUGUAGCGGUGAAAUGCAUAGAUAUCAUCCAGAACACCGAUUGCGAAGGCAGGUGGCUGUACCUUAAUCGACGCUGAUGCACGAAAGCAUGGGGAGCAAACAGGAUUAGAAACCCUGGUAGUCC